GAUUCUUCUUCAGAAACAUAACUCUUAGGCUCAAUCUCUAUUCCUGGUCUUCCAUAGCUAUCGUCUUCUUUUUAAAGUACUGUAUUUUAUUGAAUCUAAGCUAGUAUUUGUUGUAAGAAGCACUAUUAUUAUAUGUACAACUAAGGAAGAAAAAAUGCUGCCAAUUAAACUGUGACAUAAUGCCAUGAUUACAGUCCUGUGAAAUUGCUGAGUGCCAUGAGAGGACAGUGACAACCUUGGGGCCUCAUGGUGAAGGUGGCAGAAACUUUGUUAGCCUGGGUGCUCAGGGUGGACAGCUGCUCUUGCCAACCGGGAACAUUUGCCUUGAGCUCUUUUGUAAGUGACAGAUAAGCUUUUAUUGUACUUCAGCCAAGAUACAAACAUUGGACGUAUUUGUACAGCAGCUAAAGGUACUAUAAUAAUACAUAUUCUGAAAUCACUAUGUACCCUAAAAUAUUUUAACAAAAUUCUUGCAAUAUUUGUAUGAGAACUGCUGGAUUUUGCUUUCUUACCAAAUUUGCUGUUGCUACUGAAAAAAGAGAAUAACUUGGACAAUGAAAUGAUCUCAAAUGAGGUAAUAAAAUCAUUACUGAAUUU
rnacentral:lncRNA from 10 species